GAUAAGUAAUUAGUGUUUUGAAAACACUUUCAGAAUAUUUUCACUUAUCUA
rnacentral:tRNA from 1 species